GACAGAGGGUGCAACCGUUGUUCGGAAUUAUUGGGCGUAAAGCGCACGUAGGCGGCUUUUCAAGUCGGAUGUGAAAUCCCUCGGCUUAACCAAGGAAGUGCAUCCGAAACUGGAAGGCUUGAGUACUUAAGAGGAUCGCGGAAUUCCCGGUGUAGAGGUGAAAUUCGUAGAUAUCGGGAGGAACACCAGUGGCGAAGGCGGCGAUCUGGGAAGAUACUGACGCUGAGGUGCGAAAGCGUGGGGAGCAAACAGG
rnacentral:rRNA from 1 species